rnacentral:snRNA from 1 species
AGCUUUGUGCAGUGGCAGUAUCGUAGCCAAUGAGGUUUAUCCGAGGCGCGAUUAUUGCUAAUUGAAAAGUUUAAUCAUAUAUUUAGCAUACAACUCAGUGACUGGGUUCUCCUAGUGACUCAGUGAUUCCACU